rnacentral:rRNA from 1 species
AUUGAACGCUGGCGGCAGGCCUAACACAUGCAAGUCGAGCGGAUGAAGGGAGCUUGCUCCUGGAUUCAGCGGCGGACGGGUGAGUAAUGCCUAGGAAUCUGCCUGGUAGUGGGGAUAACGUCCGGAAACGGGCGCUAAUACCGCAUACGUCCUGAGGGAGAAAGUGGGGGAUCUUCGGACCUCACGCUAUCAGAUGAGCCUAGGUCGGAUUAGCUAGUUGGUGGGGUAAAGGCCUACCAAGGCGACGAUCCGUAACUGGUCUGAGAGGAUGAUCAGUCACACUGGACCUGAGAAACGGUCCAGACUCCUACGGAGGCAGCAGUGGGGAAUAUUGGACAAUGGGCGAAAGCCUGAUCCAGCCAUGCCGCGUGUGUGAAGAAGGUCUUCGGAUUGUAAAGCACUUUAAGUUGGGAGGAAGGGCAGUAAGUUAAUACCUUGCUGUUUUGACGUUACCAACAGAAUAAGCACCGGCUAACUUCGUG